ACCGGAUUAGAUACCCGGGUAGUCCUAGGUGUAAACGCUGUGGACUUUGUGUCGGGGGUCUUUCGAGGAUUCUCGGUGCCGGAGUGAAGAUGUUAAGUCCACUGCCUGGGGAGUACGGUCGCAAGGCUGAAACUUAAAGGAAUUGGCGGGGGAGCACUGCAACGAGAGGAGCGUGCGGUUUAAUUGGAUUCAACGCCGGAAAACUCACCAAAGCCGACUGUUAGAUGAAGACCAGCGUAACGAGCUUGUCGGAUUUUCAGAGAGGUAGUGCAUGGCCGUCGUCAGUUCGUACCGUAAGGCGUUCUGUUAAGUCAGAUAACGAACGAGACCCCCAUCGUCAUUUGCUAACCCUUUCUCCGGAAAGGGCGCACUAUGGCGAGAUCGCUGGUGUGAAACCAGAUGAGAGCGGGGGCAACGGUAGGUCAGUAUGCUCCGAAUGCUUUGGGCUACACGCGCGCUACAAAGGACAGGACAAUGGGUUGCUACCCCGAGAGGAGGACGCUAUCCCGAAACCUGUUCGUAGUUCGGAUCGUGGGCUGUAACUCGCCCUCGUGAAGCUGGAUUUCGUAGUAAUCGCGUCUCAAAAUGGCGCGGUGA
rnacentral:rRNA from 1 species